rnacentral:rRNA from 1 species
CCUACGGGCGGCAGCAGUGAGGAAUAUUGGUCAAUGGACGAGAGUCUGAACCAGCCAAGUAGCGUGAAGGAUGACUGCCCUAUGGGUUGUAAACUUCUUUUAUAUGGGAAUAAAAUGUUCCACGUGUGGGAUUUUGUAUGUACCAUAUGAAUAAGGAUCGGCUAACUCCGUGCCAGCAGCCGCGGUAAUACGGAGGAUCCGAGCGUUAUCCGGAUUUAUUGGGUUUAAAGGGAGCGUAGGUGGAUUGUUAAGUCAGUUGUGAAAGUUUGCGGCUCAACCGUAAAAUUGCAGUUGAAACUGACAGUCUUGAGUACAGUAGAGGUGGGCGGAAUUCGUGGUGUAGCGGUGAAAUGCUUAGAUAUCACGAAGAACUCCGAUUGCGAAGGCAGUUCACUGGACUGCAACUGACACUGAGGCUCGAAAGUGUGGGUAUCAAACAGGAUUAGAUACCCCAGUAGUC